rnacentral:rRNA from 1 species
CAGCAGCCGCGGGAAUACGUAGGUGGCAAGCGUUGUCCGGAAUUACUGGGCGUAAAGCGUGCGCAGGCGGUUCGUUAAGACAGAUGUGAAAUCCCCGGGCUUAACCUGGGAACUGCAUUUGUGACUGGCGAGCUAGAGUAUGGCAGAGGGGGGUAGAAUUCCACGUGUAGCAGUGAAAUGCGUAGAGAUGUGGAGGAAUACCGAUGGCGAAGGCAGCCCCCUGGGCCAAUACUGACGCUCAUGCACGAAAGCGUGGGGAGCAAACAGGAUUAGAUACCCGCGUAGUCUCUGUCUCUUAUAC